rnacentral:rRNA from 1 species
UACGAAGGGGGCUAGCGUUGUUCGGAAUCACUGGGCGUAAAGCGCACGUAGGCGGACUUUCAAGUCAGGGGUGAAAUCCCGGGGCUCAACCUCGGAACUGCCUUUGAUACUGUUGGUCUCGAAUCCGGUAGAGGUGGGUGGAAUUCCUAGUGUAGAGGUGAAAUUCGUAGAUAUUAGGAAGAACACCGGUGGCGAAGGCGGCCCACUGGACCGGUAUUGACGCUGAGGUGCGAAAGCGUGGGGAGCAAACAGGAUUAGAAACCCUCGUAGUCC